AGGUGUCUUUUUUCCAGAAAUGAUUCAUCAUUUCACAAAGACUGUGAAGAGAAAGAUGGAAUUCAGAGAUCACUGCUAGAAUCUGAUGGUACCUCUCUGAGGCAACCCUACCUCCCCUCUGGAUGUUGCAAAGAUGCAGAAAGAUCCUGACGCAAGGCUCCCAGCUCAGUGCCAGGCUUGGAGGCUUACAGAAGAGGCAGCUGUCAUCAACUGACUCACUUUGGAGCCAUGGGAAAAGCUGUGAGAACCAACUGCCAUGUAGACCGUGCCCUAUGAACAACUCUCAACUGAAGAGCAAAGAGCUAGCUGCUUGGUCCGUGGAUGGCAGUUCCACAGGUGAGGGGACAGUCUAUCUGGAAGGCCAUCACUUGGACAGAAGAAGGUAAAAAUGAAUCAGCGUCAUGGGCUAAAAUGCACACUAUUUUCUCAGCAUGAUUGGGGGUUUUACCAGUGGUUUUUUUUUUUCCUGUUUCAAUUUUUACUGACUCAGGGCAGUGGCCAAUGGUCUGACCGUAUGGUCGGGCAGGAAGGCACACUGGAUAUGUUACCUAUUAAAAGGUUGCCCAUGUGGGGCACAGCCCUGUGGAAAUGAAUCUGAGGGGUGCAAUGAAGCAGGACAGGAUCCCAUCAGAACUUCUUCCAGGUUUGGAAGAUCACUUCAACUUUUCAUUCCCCUGUUCGAUGUUGCAAACACAGACGUGGAAACAGGGAUGACUCCUAAGCAAGAAACUCUAGGUAUGGUUUCAAACCUGACAUUACAAAGUUCCUAAGGGCCUACGGGGCAGGAUGUGCCUGCACUCUCUGGGGCAAAACUGGGUGACAGGGAGUGUGGCUACACGUACCAGUGGUGGAGACAGCCCACCAUAGGGAGGCGUCAUUUUGUUGCAUCUCGCUUUACCGCGCGUUGCUGGUACUGCACUUUUUACAAAUGGAAGGUGUGUGGCAACAGUAAGCAAGUGUAUUGGUGCCACAUUUCCAACAGCAUUUGUCACUCUGUCUCCUAAAUACGUAAUUCUCACAAUGUUUCCAACUUUUUCAUUAUUUGUUAGUGAUCUGUGAUCGAUAAUUACAACUUGCUCGAUGCCCAAAUGAAUUUUUUUAGCAGUCAUGUAUUUUUUAAUUGAGGUAUAAACAUCAUAUUGUUUUUUUAAAUAUAAUGCUAAUUUGGGAUAGAGGCAAAUAAGACGGGAAGUAAUGGGAGGAAUAAUUCCAGAAAAAUAAUCACUAAGUAGAAAAUUAAACUUGCCA